rnacentral:rRNA from 1 species
UACCACGUUAGGAAACGAGGUGCUAAUACCGGAUAAGAAAGCAGAUCGCAUGAUCAGCUUUUAAAAAGGCGGCGUAAGCUGUCGCUAUGGGAUGGCCCGCGGUGCAUUAGCUAGUUGGUAAGGUAAAGGCUUACCAAGGCGAUGAUGCAUAGCCCGAGUUGAGAGACUGAUCGGGCCACAUUGGGGACUGAGACACGGGGCCCAAACUCCUACGGGGGGAGGGGCAGCAGUAGGGGGAAUCUUCCACAAUGGACGCAAGUCUGAUGGAGCAACGCCGCGUGAGUGAAGUAAGGUUUUCGGAUCGUAAAGCUCUGUUGUUGGUGAAGAAGGAUAGAGGUAGUAACUGGCCUUUAUUUGACGGUAAUCAACCAGAAAGUCACGGCUAACUACGUGCCAGCAGCCGCGGUAAU